GUUCUGCUCCCUUUGGCAGUACAUAGACUAAAAUUGGAACAAAACAGAAAAGAUUAGCAUGGUUCCCAGGCAAGGAUGAUUCACAAAUUUAUGAAGCAGUCCAUAUUUCU